GGGACGAACGCUGGCGGCGUGCUUAACACAUGCAAGUCGAGCGGAAAGGCCCUUCGGGGUACUCGAGCGGCGAACGGGUGAGUAACACGUGAGCAAUCUGCCCCUAGCUCUGGGAUAGCUCCGGGAAACCGGAAUUAAUACCGAAUAUGACUCCGGCCGACAUCGGUUGUGGUGGAAAGUUUUUCGGCUAGGGAUGAGCUCGCGGCCUAUCAGCUUGUUGGUGAGGUAACGGCUCACCAAGGCGACGACGGGUA
rnacentral:rRNA from 1 species